rnacentral:rRNA from 1 species
CCUACGGGAGGCAGCAGUGAGGAAUAUUGGUCAAUGGGAGAGAUCCUGAACCAGCCAAGCCGCGUGAGGGAAGACGGCCCUAUGGGUUGUAAACCUCUUUUGUCGGAGAACAAAACCCGGGACGUGUCCCGGACUGCGUGUAUCCGAAGAAAAAGCAUCGGCUAACUCCGUGCCAGCAGCCGCGGUAAUACGGAGGAUGCGAGCGUUAUCCGGAUUUAUUGGGUUUAAAGGGUGCGUAGGCGGUCCGUUAAGUCAGCGGUAAAAUUGCGGGGCUCAACCCCGUCGAGCCGUUGAAACUGGCAGACUUGAGUUGGCGAGAAGUACGCGGAAUGCGCGGUGUAGCGGUGAAAUGCAUAGAUAUCGCGCAGAACUCCGAUUGCGAAGGCAGCGUACCGGCGCCAGACUGACGCUGAGGCACGAAAGCGUGGGGAUCGAACAGGAUUAGAUACCCUUGUAGUC